rnacentral:rRNA from 1 species
UACACUCCUACGGGAGGCAGCAGUGGGGAAUAUUGGACAAUGGGCGCAAGCCUGAUCCAGCCAUGCCGCGUGAGUGAUGAAGGCCCUAGGGUUGUAAAGCUCUUUCACCGGUGAAGGUAAUGACGGUAACCGGAGAAGAAGCCCCGGCUAACUUCGUGCCAGCAGCCGCGGUAAUACGAAGGGGGCUAGCGUUGUUCGGAUUUACUGGGCGUAAAGCGCACGUAGGCGGACUAUUAAGUCAGGGGUGAAAUCCCGGGGCUCAACCCCGGAACUGCCUUUGAUACUGGUAGUCUUGAGUUCGAGAGAGGUGAGUGGAAUUCCGAGUGUAGAGGUGAAAUUCGUAGAUAUUCGGAGGAACACCAGUGGCGAAGGCGGCUCACUGGCUCGAUACUGACGCUGAGGUGCGAAAGCGUGGGGAGCAAACAGGAUUAGAAACCCCAGUAGUCC